rnacentral:lncRNA from 1 species
AAGGCCCCUCCCAGCAGGAGCGCAGCGCACUGACACCCGAGGCAGCCACUGCCUUACAAGGCUGCCACAGGCACAGCCAGCCUAUGGACGCCGCUCGACCCAGGGGACGCUUGCCACGGGAUCUCCACCCCGCUGACUCUGUGGUGAGGUCAGGGUCGCACUGGUGGCUCUGAAGAAGAUUAUGGGGUUAGCAAGGAGGCAAUGGGGCUGGAAGAUUUGGUUCAAUAGACUCUUCAGUCCUCCAGGUUCUGUCUCAGACUCUAACCAAGUCACCCACUGAGGUCUUGGCUUGGCCACUUGCCUUAUGUCCCACAAAGCCCCAAGUCCUGCUGUGAUGGUUUGUAUAUGCUUGGCCCAAGAAGUGGCACUAUUUGGAGGUGUGGCCUUGUUGGAGUAGGUGUGACCUGGUUGGAGUAGGUGUGUCACUGUGGGCAUGGACUUAAGACCCUCACCCUAGCUGCCUGGAAGUGAGUAGCAGCCUUCAGAUGAAGAUGUAGAACUCUCAGCUCCUCUUGCACCAUGCCUGCCUGGAUGCUGCCAUGCUCCCACCUUGAUGAUAAUGGACUGAACCUCAGAACCUGUAAACCAACCCCAAUUAAAUGUGUCCUUUAUAAGA